AUCAAGGUGCUUAAAUGUGAACUGAAAUCCACACAGUGCUUCAACAAGUCCAAUCUUGUGCGUCAUAUGCAAGUCAUUUCCAUCCCGCUGGAAGACCUAAAAAAACAAAAACAGGAGUCAAAAUAGAACUGCGAUGCUACGUUUCAACCAGUGCUACAGAAGAAAGAAGAGAGGAACGUGUAGAGCUAUGCAAAACUGAAAAAUUAGCAGUCCUUGACACAGCUUUGAAAAGCUUACAAAGUACCUAAUUUUCAGAUAACCAACAUUAUGUCCUUAAUAUGUGACUGGAAUUUAAAUCUGUACCAAAUGCUACUCUUUAUGUCACAACAGAACUUCCCCCACCACCACCAUUCCAUUCAACAUUUUUUCCAGAGUAGAACACACAAACUAUUUCUUCUUUCAUCGUAGUAAUACCUGGCCUUUCUAAACAAAAGCAUUCAAAAAAAGCAGCAGUCACCUCAACUCUGGCCUAAGGCAGUUUUAACACAGAAAAAGAUAAAUUGCAAUAUUUAAUGCAAAACUGCAAUGUAUAUACUCCAGAAUACAGUAGGCAUAAGCCUUAACAAACUAGUAUAAAAUAA